AGGUGGUUGAUCGCGUCGGAAGUGUAUCUUGGGGCUUAACCCUGAGCGUGCUUUCGAUACGGGUGACUGAGGGGAAGGUAGGGGAGAAUGGAAUUCCUGGUGGAGCGGUGGAAUGCGCAGAUAUCAGGAGGAACACCAGUGGCGAAGGCGGUUCUCUGGGCCUUUCCUGACGCUGAGGAGCGAAAGCGUGGGGAGCGAACAGGCUUAGAUACCCUGGUAGUCCACGCUGUAAACGGUGGGUACUAGGUGUGGGGUCCAUUCCACGGGUUCCGUGCCGUAGCUAACGCUUUAAGUACCCCGCCUGGGGAGUACGGCCGCAAGGCUAAAACUCAAAGGAAUUGACGGGGCCCCGCACAAGCGGCGGAGCAUGCGGAUUAAUUCGAUGCAACGCGUAGAACCUUACCUGGGUUUGACAUGGAUCGGGAGUGCUCAGAGAUGGGUGUGCCUCUUUUGGGGUCGGUUCACAGGUGGUGCAUGGCUGUCGUCAGCUCGUGUCGUGAGAUGUUGGGUUAAGUCCCGCAACGAGCGCAACCCUUGUUCACUGUUGCCAGCACGUUAUGGUGGGGACUCAGUGGAGACCGCCGGGGUCAACUCGGAGGAAGGUGGGGAUGACGUCAAGUCAUCAUGCCCCUUAUGUCCAGGGCUUCACGCAUGCUACAAUGGCUGGUACAGAGAGUGGCGAGCCUGUGAGGGUGAGCGAAUCUCGGAAAGCCGGUCUCAGUUCGGAUUGGGGUCUGCAACUCGACCUCAUGAAGUCGGAGUCGCUAGUAAUCGCAGAUCAGCAACGCUGCGGUGAAUACGUUCCCGGGGCUUGUACACACCGCCCGUCAAGUCAUGAAAGUUGGUAACACCCGAAGCCGGUGGCCUAACCGUUGUGGGGGAGCCGUUGAAGGUGGGACUGGUGAUUAG
rnacentral:rRNA from 1 species